AAUAUGCCCCUUGGUGCGGGACAACCAUUGGAAACGAUGGCUAAUACCGCAUAAUGUCUUCGGACCAAAGAUUUAUCGCCGAGGGAUUGGCCCGCGUUAGAUUAGCUUGUUGGUGGGGUAAAGGCUCACCAAGGCGACGAUCUAUAGCUGGUUUGAGAGGAUGAUCAGCCACACUGGGACUGAGACACGGCCCAGACUCCUACGGGAGGCAGCAGUGGGGAAUCUUGGACAAUGGGGGCAACCCUGAUCCAGCCAUGCCGCGUGAGUGAUGAAGGCCUUAGGGUUGUAAAACUCUUUCAGCGGGGACGAUAAUGACGGUACCCGCAGAAGAAGCCCCGGCUAACUCCGUGCCAGCAGCCGCGGUAAUACGGAGGGGGCUAGCGU
rnacentral:rRNA from 1 species